UCGGUCUUUUGCACUCCAUUUUUGAGGUUGAGGAAAGUCUCUUCUUUUUUUCACAGCGUUGUAUUUUAAGUCCUUGAAGCUCUGACGUGAUCCCCAUUUCUAAGGGUUAAAUUAAGAAAGCCCAGGGUCAUAAAGAGUAUAAAGGCUGGAAACACUUGCAAAUUUCUGAAAACACAUGUAUACAAUCUGUAUGUGUCUUGAUUUACCAAACCAUUUCUUUUGCCAUUCUAAAACAGAAUAUCUGGAAUCUGUUUAACGUAACAGCGAUCAAGUAGCUCUUUUGAUAUCAUAUAUAUGCUGACAUCAUGCACAAAACUUCAAGCUUUCAAAAAACUUCUACUUAAUGAAUCUCUUCCUAUGAUUUUACUUUUAAGCCGCCUAGUUUUCAAUAAAAGAAAAGGUUUAUUGGGUGUUUUUAACCCAGAAUCUUGUCAAUUUUGUUCUUUUAUUGGGUAUACAGUACAUUCCUGUAGUCACAUUAAUAGAUCUUCUGUCAGUGUGUAAACUUAGAAGGAUCUGUUACUUCUCUUUCAUGCAGGGUGUUUCGAGGGCAUUAGUUGAAAAUGCAAGAACCUUAAGAUUGCCUACUUAUUUGCAUGAAAGAUUAAGUUUAAUCCGUAAUGCAAAGACGAAACAUGAAGAGGAAGGAAUUGCUCCACCGAUUGAUAGAAUUGCGGCAUGCCUGAACAUGUCCCAAACAAAAGUCAGGAAUGCAACAGAGAUGCCAAGCAAUUAGUAAGGUCUUCUCUCUUGAUAGGGAAGCAUUCCCCUCUUUAAAUGGCCUUCCAGGAGAAACACUUCAUAGUGUAAGUGCAUAUGUACUAU